rnacentral:rRNA from 1 species
GAUGAACGCUGGCGGCGUGCCUAAUACAUGCAAGUCGAGCGAACAGACGAGGAGCUUGCUCCUCUGACGUUAGCGGCGGACGGGUGAGUAACACGUGGAUAACCUACCUAUAAGACUGGGAUAACUUCGGGAAACCGGAGCUAAUACCGGAUAAUAUAUUGAACCGCAUGGUUCAAUAGUGAAAGACGGUUUUGCUGUCACUUAUAGAUGGAUCCGCGCCGCUUUAGCUAGUUGGUAAGGUAACGGCUUACCAAGGCGACGAUGCGUAGCCGACCUGAGAGGGUGAUCGGCCACACUGGAACUGAGACACGGUCCAGACUCCUACGGGAGGCAGCAGUAGGGAAUCUUCCGCAAUGGGCGAAAGCCUGACGGAGCAACGCCGCAUGAGUGAUGAAGGUCUUCGGAUCGUAAAACUCUGUUAUUAGGGAAGAACAAAUGUGUAAGUAACUAUGCACGUCUUGACGGUACCUAAUCAGAAAGCCACGGCUAACUACGUG